rnacentral:rRNA from 1 species
UACGUAGGGACCAAGCGUUGUUCGGAAUCACUGGGCGUAAAGGGCGCGUAGGCGGCCUGUUAAGUCACACGUGAAAUCCCUCGGCUCAACCGGGGAACUGCGUGUGAUACUGGCGGGCUUGAAUUCGGGAGAGGGAUGUGGAAUUCCAGGUGUAGCGGUGAAAUGCGUAGAUAUCAGGAGGAACACCGGUGGCGAAGGCGGGUCUCUGGGCCAAAACUGACGCUGAGGAGCGAAAGCGUGGGGAGCGAACAGG